rnacentral:lncRNA from 1 species
AAAGGGCAUAGUAUAUGGACUUAGUUUGGAUGGACGUAACCUCACCCGUGGCUCAACAUCUACAUCAAAUAGAUAUUCAAAUUAUGCUGAUAUUGCUCGUGUUAUGAGUGGAGAGGUUGAGGCGCGAUUAAGGCAUAAAAUUGCAGACCAACAACAAACAAUCAAUUGCAUCCUUGCACGUCAAAAUAAAAUGUUGGCCGCAUUUGCUAAUUAUGCAAAUAUAGAUUUGGACAUGAUGGAUUUAGAUGAAGAUGAUCCUUCCGUUGGUAAUGGAACUCGUGGAAACAAUGUAAAUGAUGGUACAAAUGCCGAUGAAUAAUAUUAAUGACUUUGGAAUGUAGAACUUAAAUUAUGGAGUUUGAUAUUUUGUAGACAAUUUUAAGUUAUUAGAACUUUAGCCUUUUGGAUGUAGUGAUAAAAAUGUGAUAUUUUGUUGUUAUUUGGAGAUACUUUAUAUGUUAUGUUUAUGAUGGAUCAAAUUCUUGCAGAUAUGAAUUUCUAGUUUGAUAUGAAUUUUAAAAUUAAAAAUUGAUGAUACAAUACAAUUCAAUGUGCACUAUUUAUAUGAUUGUAUUUGUAAAAAAAUAAUAAUAAAAAACAAUAGGGACAGAAAGGAAAUAUUCUGUCACAAUAUGUGGGGACGGAAUGUGAAUAUUCAGUCACUUUAUUGAGACGGAAUUAAACCAUU